UACGUAGGGGGCUAGCGUUGUCCGGAAUCAUUGGGCGUAAAGCGCGUGUAGGCGGUUCGGUAAGUCCGCUGUGAAAGUCGGGGGCUCAACCCUCGAAAGCCGGUGGAUACUGUCGGACUAGAGUGCGGAAGAGGCGAGUGGAAUUCCUGGGUGUAGCGGUGAAAUGCGCAGAUAUCAGGAGGAACACCAAUUGCGAAGGCAGCUCGCUGGGACGUUACUGACGCUGAGACGCGAAAGCGUGGGGAGCGAACAGG
rnacentral:rRNA from 1 species